rnacentral:rRNA from 1 species
UUUAACGGCCGCGGUACUCUGACCGUGCUAAGGUAGCAUAAUAAAUUGGUUCUUAAUUGGGGCCUGGAAUGAACGGGUUUACGGAAUUUAGCUGUCUCUACUUAUCUAUUACGAAUUUACUAAUAAGGUGAAAAGGCCUUAGAAAGAUAAAAGACGAGAAGACCCUUAGAGUUUAAUAAUCUUUUGUUGGGGCGACACGGAGUCAAUAUUAUCACUCCAAGAUAUUAAGACGGAUUUAUCAUGAGUAGACAAACUACCUGAGGGAUAACAGCAUAAUCUUUUUUAGGUUUGUGACCUCGAUGUUGGACUAGGAAKUCUACUAGCAGCCGCUAGUAAGAGGG